rnacentral:rRNA from 1 species
UACGGGGGGGGCAAGCGUUGUUCGGAAUUACUGGGCGUAAAGGGCUCGUAGGUGGCCAACUAAGUCAGACGUGAAAUCCCUCGGCUUAACCGGGGAACUGCGUCUGAUACUGGAUGGCUUGAGUUCGGGAGAGGGAUGCGGAAUUCCAGGUGUAGCGGUGAAAUGCGUAGAUAUCCGGAGGAACACCGGCGGUGUAGACGGCUUACUGGACCAUAACUGACGCUGAGGCGCGAAAGCGUGGGGAGCAAACAGG